GUCAGCGCGCAGCGUGCUCGAUAAUGAGGCACACAGCGAAGUUUUAUUUGCAGCGAGUUGUACGGUCUCGGACCUUCGAGAAUUCACGAGGUUUCGCGAGCGUUCGGCAGUGCCCCUGGAAGAUCGACGAGAAACCCGUUUUCGCGGCAGUGUUGGGCCAACAUGGAGGGGUCAAGUACGCAGAGUGAUUUACCCAUUUUCCCUGUCAAGAUGGUUGGACACAACAUCCGCACUGGAAGAUGAACAUGACCAAUUUUAAUGGAACUCUAUUAUUUUACCAUGGAUUGAACUUUCCAAUUUUUGUGGUACAACCGGAUUUUGCAUGUUUAAUUCAAUGACGUGUGAUCAACAACUCACAAACUGACGAAUCAGGCGACGGGGAUUCUUACGCCAUGUCGCAUGGAAUAUUGUGUGUAUUGUUCGUUGAUAAAAAAAACCCUGAGGAAUAAGCACUUUCAUGGUACAUUUAAUAUGCGCCAUCUUGUUCACAUAGCAAGAAGAACAAGCAUUGCUAGAUGCGGACACAUUUUGUAAUGUACACAUUUUGGAAUGAACGCAUGAUGACUUGGAAGCACAAAAGGUUUUGUUUGAUGACGUGUAGACUGCAACGCAUGUAAAUUUGCCCGAUAAGAAAAAUGACGCAUUACAGUGAAAAAAAAUAAUCAGUUCAAUCAAAUUUCUCUAAAUAUCAAAUUCCAGUUUUAUUUCACAAAUUAAUCAAUGUCAGUAGCCUUUAUGCUGUAUAUUGAAAACCGAUAAUACAAUACAAACCUCUGCGAACGACUGUACACUGCACUCGAAGUCCAUAUCGAUGUUCUGAAAAUAUGCAGACUGCGAAACAUUAUGAAGCACUGGCAACUUUGCUGAUCGUCUGCGAAACAGUUUGCGUCUGUCUGAGUUGUCGGCGACACUUCCAGAUGAAAUGUUUCCAUAUUAUCUGUUCUGCAGUUUUGGUCCCAUUUUUUUGUUUCACUUUGCGUUUUUUACGUUGAGAUGGAAACUAGCCUGAACAGUAUUGAUUGCUUGUUAGUUUGUAACCAUUGCAAUCUUAAAUAUUUAUUAUUUGUUCUUAUACGCCUGCAUUCUUACCCUUGUAAUUAUUAAGAAAUACAAUUUAUUGUUAUUGCCAAGGGCUGGAGCGGUUGAAUAAUCUUGCCUUAAAACAGAUUGCUGACACGUGGACUUUUAUAAGCUCAUGGUCUAUACAUGUCGCAAGAGUAUAGUUACUGUACAUGUACAUGUACAUUGUACAUCAGUGUUUUCCAGAGCAUUAAAAACCUCACACAAUAAAGAAACUGUGCCUUAAUUUUCAUGUUCACUUUUUUUUUUAGAUCUAUAUUUGUAAGUUAUUCCAUGUUGUGAGAAACUUUCAUUUGUAAAGUUUUUUUUCUUGGAAACUGAAAGUGGUUCAAAUAUUAAAGUGUUUCAGUAUACCUUAAUGUUUAACUAAAUGCAGCUGAAAGUAUGUAAUUGUGAUUUCAUGAAUAAAGUGUUUCCCAGAAUUUCAGUCAAGAAAAGAGA